CAUCCUCCCUGGCCAACAGCUUGGUGUAGAAUUGUUUAGGGCAAAGUAGUGGGAUGGGGUGGUGGAUUUUGGGGAUAGUGUAUAGGUAAGGUGCAGGGCUAGUUGGUGGUGUAAUUUAAAAAACAUUUUUUUUACCAGAAUGUGCAAGCCGCAAUCCGACUUGCGAAAAGCAGCAUUAAACAGCACAGCGUCUAGUCUUCCGGAAAUUCACACGAAGAAGAACAUUGGCUAAACUCCAUCGAAGAAGAGUGGGUGUCUCGCUUUCUCUACGGUCUCUGGCUUUACUACCCUGCGACUCUUUCCUAUCGAGACAACAUAGAAAACAAGCCAUAUAGCUAGCUGUUUAUCUUUUGAUAAAGAUGUCAACCACGACCGGCGGCGGAGAGUUUGGCAACCCCCUGCGGAAAUUUAAGCUCGUAUUCUUAGGCGAGCAAAGUGUGGGGAAGACAUCACUUAUCACCAGGUUUAUGUAUGACAGCUUUGACAAUACCUAUCAGGCUACAAUUGGCAUAGACUUUUUAUCGAAAACGAUGUACCUGGAAGAUCGUACGAUUCGUCUCCAGCUGUGGGAUACGGCCGGGCAGGAGCGGUUCCGCAGCCUCAUCCCCAGCUACAUCAGAGACUCAGCCGCUGCUGUGGUGGUUUAUGACAUAGCAAAUCUCAAUUCCUUCCAGCAAACCUCAAAGUGGAUUGAUGACGUCAGAACAGAGAGAGGAAGUGAUGUUAUUAUCAUGCUUGUGGGAAACAAAACAGACUUGGCUGAUAAAAGACAAGUUUCUGUUGAGGCUGCAGAGAGGAAAGCUCGUGAACUCAAUGUGAUGUACAUAGAGACCAGUGCCAAGGCUGGCUAUAACGUCAAACAGACAGAUCACCACUGAAGAGGGCGAGCAGAGAGCUAAGGAACUGAAUGUCAUGUUCAUUGAAACCAGUGCAAAGACUGGCUACAAUGUCAAACAGCUGUUUCGCCGUGUUGCUGCAGCCCUACCUGGGAUGGAUAGCACACCAGAGAAGAGCAAAGAGGACAUGAUCGAUAUCAAACUGGAGAAGCCACCAGAGAUGGCAGUGACGGAGAGCAGCUGCUCCUGCUAGUAAACACCCCCCCACCUGACCUUCCUCCUCUCCACCAACAGCUUGUCUCUCAGUGGCCACUCUCCCCACCCAUGGCUCACUGCCAUCGACCUGAGAACCUCGAACCCCCCCCCCCCCCUUCGACUCAGUGACUUUUCAGAGUAACCGUGUGGAUGUGCUAUUACUCUGUAUUUAACAGAUAUUAAACUAUAUUAAAGGUUAAAAGUCAAACACAGAAUAGGUUGAAAGCUGAAUAUGUUCAGCUUUUCAUCCAACUGCAUGGCAUUAUAUAGGAUUGCAGACUGACAUAGCUAAUUGCUCUUGGGUUAUUGCGUUGUUGUGAAGUGAUUAUUGUUUGAGAUUAUUUAAGUGACUAUUAAAGGGAUACGGUCUCAGUCCCUUGGAUCUUUGCUUUUAUUUCCAAUGACGAGUCUGGAGUGGGUCAACUAGAGUAUUCUAGCUCCGUGAUAAACAAAGUGAUUCACAAGGAUUUGAUAUAUUUUGUUCUAAAAAGAUUCCCCUCUAAACUAUGAAUAUUAUUUCCUCUCAUUGUUGGCUCAAAUCAAAGCUAUUAAUUUAGGCCUAAUGGUUUAUGGGACCAUGAAUAAGGGACAUUAUCAGGACAUUUUCAAGGCAUGAACAGCCAAAGAACUUCAUUUAGGAUUACUGUAGUAAUCGACUGAUGAUUUCAAUGGCAACUUUUUUUGUUAUUUUGGCAGGUCUCCCAAAAAGGAUGCUGCAGAAAGGAUGUAUAGCCAAUCAUUAAGAAAACAAGGAUUUGCAUUUUUAGAAAAGGGACAUGAUCCCAAAUUCAUUGUAGUGGAAAAUUCUAACCUAAAUCUAUUGAUAUACACUUUGAAACGAUAAAUCUGUCACAGCGACUUACAUCAAAUAGCUGCACACAUGCAAACACAUCUUGUGUCUGAGGAGAAGAGGUGUUUUAAAGUUCAUAUGUGAGCCUAUGGAGUGAGCAGGUGUCAAAGCUUUUUACACUCUAAAUGGAAACAUGCAUUGGGCCCAUACGAUGUCUGCCUACUCACCCUCCAAUUGAUGUAUAUUGUUGUCUUGUUUUCGUCACACUAUUGCAGGAACGGCGUGCUCAUCAUGCAGGUUUCAUAGAUGGUUAAGAAAAAACGAUGCCUUGCUUGUUUGUUCACCAACGUUGUGCACUGAAUCAAGACCCAACAUUGUAAAGAUGGACAGUAGUUCUGUAGAGCAGAUACAGCUAACGCUUCCUAACACCAUUGCUGUGAAAAUAAGUGCAGUGAAGUUCAUCUUUAGCGCUAUUGCCAGUUUACGACCGUUGGUUUUGUGUUUAUUUAUUUUGAAACACAAGCAACCGUAAAAUUGCCUUGUACACUUAACCAAAAUGAGUUGCUCCACCCCUGUCCUUUAACACGUUCUCUCUCACACACACACACACCAACUAAACACAGCCAUAAAUGUCCCACCACACACCAAUGCUUUCGCUGUUACAUUUUUACAAAAAAUGUAGAUGAGUAUUUAAUUACGUCGAACCACCGUCUUUACCUUAACAGCUGUUCUAUUAUCCCUCACUGACUGAGUACUCAACUGAACUGUGUGCUAUUCUGAAGUGUCUGUCCAUUUGAAAUAUGUCGUGUUUAGCAACGUUUGUGUGAAUAAUGUAAUAUCUGCUGUAUAAAAAAGGAGAAUUAAAGAACACCGAAAGGUAUCACAUGAAAUAAAGAGAUUUCACCAAA